AAAAAUCAUAAAUUAAUAGCUGAUAUGUAUAUAUAUAUAUAAGUAUUUAAAUAAUCAGUUCAGUGUUUAUGUUGAUACGAUGUAUAAGAAUAAAUAUUUGAAUUUAAAUGAAUACCUUAAAUGCAUAAUCAGUUAUAAAUAAGUUUUUCAUAAUUUGCUCGUUUAAAUAAUUAGUCUACUCUUUCUAUAAGGUAAUAUGCAUAUUGUUUACAAACAAUAUUUGUUUUCGUGCAAGAUUUAACAUUUUAUUUUUAUUUUAUCAGUUUGAUGUGUGUUGAAUUAAUUUCUAUUCAAUUUAAGUUUUUUUUUUAUGUUUUUCUUUAAAUUUUUGUUUUUUUAUUUUGGAUAUAUCCGAACCUAACCAAUAUAACCCGAAUCCGAACAAUAUAGGAUUUUUUUAUAGAUUUUAGGAUGCAAUAAAAAUUUGAACUGAACCAGAAGUUUUAUUAUCCGAACCCGAUUCAUACCAAUAAAAUAUUAGAAUGAAACCUAAAAAAGUAAACCCGAAAAUAUGAAAAUCCAAAAUACCCGAUUUGAACCCAAACGCUGAGGCCUUAUCAUGGAAAGUUUGAUUCCCUCAUGAUGUAACAGCAUCUACGCCUCCACAAUCUUGAUGUCUGUCUCUAUAAUAUUUCCUUUUCUUUGUUUUCAUUAUUCUCUCAUUAAAUAAUUGUUAAUGUUCUAGUUUGCCUUUGUA
rnacentral:lncRNA from 1 species